GACCUCAAAUCAGGUAAGAACACCCGCUGAACUUAAGCAUAUCAAUAAGCGGAGGAAAAGAAAAUAACAAUGAUUCCCCUAGUAACUGCGAGUGAAGAGGGACAAGCUCAAAUUUUAAAUCCAUCGGGUUUUACCUGAUCGAGUUGUAAUUUGAAGAAGCGUUUUCUGCGUAUUUGAUCAGCCUAAGUCCUAUUGAAUGAGGCAUCAUGGAGGGUGAUAAUCCCGUCCGGUUGAUCAUUUGCGUUUUACGAUACGCUCUCUAAGAGUCAAGUUGUUUGGGAUUGCAGCUUAAAAUGGGAGGUAAAUUUCUCCUAAGGCUAAAUAACGGCGAGAGACCGAUAGCGAACAAGUACCGUGAGGGAAAGAUGAAAAGAACUUUGAAAAGAGAGUUAAACAGUACGUGAAAUUGUUGAAAGGGAAACGAUUGAAGCCAGUCGUACCUUCGGGUAAUCAGCCUUUCGGGUGUGAUUCUGUGGAGUUUGAGGAGCUUAACACCUUCAUGCUUUGCAUAUUCGUGCUCUUGGGUGUACUUGCCCGUGUGGUUGGUUAACAUCAAUUUCGGGCACCAUAAAAUGGCUGGAGGAAUGUAGCUUCGAUCUUGUAUUGAAGUGUUAUAGCCUUCGGUAGAUGUGGUGAUCGAGAUUGAGGAUUGCAACGGAUACCUUUCGGGGCUACCUGUCUGAUCUCUGAUCGUUGCUUUGGUGCUGAAAGCGUGCUUAUAGUUAUCAAAGUCGAUGGUCAAUAGGUUAGAAUGGGUUAAAUUCGUUAAGGAUGUUGACGUAAUGGCUUUAAACGACCCGUCUUGAAACACGGACCAAGGAGUCUAACAUAUAUGCGAGUGUUC
rnacentral:rRNA from 1 species